UCAAACUGUACGAUAUCCAUUAAAAUUAAAAUUAAAAAAAAAAAAAAGAAAAAAAAAGAAAAAAGAAAAAGAAAGAUAAAAGAAAUCCUAUCUGCAAGUUCAUCGAAAUAUUUCCGCUAUAGCUUUCAAAAGAAAUCGCUUUUCUCUCGGCUAUUUCGAUUUAAUACCAAACGCAAAUCUAGUACCGACACGGUAAAUCCACGCAACUGUGCAUGUAUUAAAUGUGUACAUACACAAACAUAGAUAUCUAUUUACGUACUCGCAAUUUACGAAUGCAACACGUUUUCACUCUUUCGUUUCUCUUUCAUUCUUGCGGCUAACGUUUCUCGAUAACGAACACGUACAUACAUAUAUCGUUGCAUUUCAUUCCGUUGCUUGUCUCUUCUAGAAAGUGAAACAUGUAAUCACGAAAAAUGCAUCGAUUAUCAUAAUUAAGAACCUCGUGAAAUUAAAAUGAGCGCAAAUCAGUUUGUUUUCUUUUUUAUUCUUUUUUCCAUAUUUUUUCUUUUUUUCUUUUUUUUUUUUUUUUUCUUUUCUUUAUUUUCAUAAUUUCAAUUUAAGUUUGUGUGCGCAUACAUUUUUUCACAUUUAGAUUACGUACACACACACACACGCGUAUAUAUACAAAUACAUAUGUAUAUAUAUAUAGAUCAAUGUCAUUGGGUGCAUCAAUACAAUUGCAGACGAUUUCUAAGAACAAUAUACGUUGACAGGUUUAACGGGAAAAAACGAAGACUCGUGGAUGACGUAGACCAUCGUUUCAACGUCAUCCGGUAAGCAAUCAACAACGUUUAAUCAUAAUCAUCGAAUCAUUAUAAUUCGAUAAUCAAAGAAAAAAAAAUGCACACACACACAUACAAAGAAGCAAUAAUUAUUCCAUACAAAAUUAUAUAGAUAAUAGAAGUUUACGACAAAAAAAAAGGGAAAUAAUAAUAAUAAUAAUAAUAAUAAUAAUAAUUACAACAAAGUUAAUCUCGUUUAUAGAUAAAUCAAAUGGAACAAUAUAUUGUAUCAUAUCGUUUUUUGUAAUAUUGCGAUAUUCGAAAAAAAAAAAAAAAAUGAUAAAAUUACAGAUACAUAAGGUAUAUAAAAUCGUUCCCGUUCGAUCUACCAUUACUUCAUCCCACGGAUUAUUGCAACGAUAUAUUAGAUAUCCAAUAAAUUAGAUAACGAAAGGGAAAAUUGUUUUUACUUAUGAUAACGAAUAGGUAUGAAAUUAUCGUUUGGAUUUUCAUUUUCUUAGAUAGAUCUGUUAUCUAGGUUUCGCGAAAACCUGAAAGGAAGGUUAUAACAAUGACUUCCUGCGUCCGCUUACCAUGCGGACACGUUACGAGGCAUUCUCUUCCUUUUACACGACCUCGGGACUACGACUCGGCAAGAGUCGAUUACUCACGGUCCCGUUAAAACCCGUUGAUAUCGGUCCGUAGUGGCCCCGACUAGUCUGAAUCAACGACCCACUUCAAGCCACGAAACGGUCUCACGUUUCGUCUUUUUCUCUCUCUCUCUCUCUCUCACACACACACACACACACACACACACACACAUAUAUAUACACACACAUACAUACACACAUACACAAGGACGCAGCCCGGGAAAAACAAUCGUUUCGAGUAAAGGACAUUUGACGUCGUUAACUCGACAUAAAUCUAUUUUAUCAAAAUACAUAUACUUGUAUAUAAAUUUAUUUAUAUAGAAAAAAUUCAUUUAUUAUUAUCAUUAUUGAUUAUUAUUAUUUAUUGUUAAUAAGAUACAAACGUGUUACGUCAAAUUCAAUAUUGACGAUGAUCGCAACUGACAUAUCUCCGAUUAUUAUCAACCGGAUGACUACGUUUACAUAUUGACGUAAUUUUACAUCGAAAUGCUUUUAGGAAAAUGUAUAUCGACACAACCGGAUGUUUUUGAUUCUCAACGAUUUAAACGUCCAUCGAAUUUCCUCUUCGUAAAUCGCCAUGACUAGGAUAGUUAUCGUGAAGAGGGAAAAAAACAAGAGAAAAAAAAGAAAAUCAAGAAAAAUGGAAGGAAAAGAAGAAAGAAGAAAAAGGAAAAAAAGAGAAAAAAAAGAGAGAGAGAGAGAGAGAACGCUCGAAAGAAAACAUCCGAUAAGAUUCAUUUAAUAGUUUCAGGAAAAAAUGAAGCAUCGGAUUCGAACUAAAUACAUCCGGAGAUUAGAAUAUCUGGAUUUUCCAAUGACCGUGAGAAUAACCAGGAUAUAAAUGAUCGGAAGUUAUCGAUGAUGUUCGAGAGAUAGACGAACUUACGUACUUAAUUAUCUACAUAUAUAUAUAUAUAUAUGUGUGUGUGUGUGUGUAUCCGAUAGCGAAUAUAUUUCUUUCUUUCUUUCUUUCUUUCUUUCUUUCUUUCUUUCUUUCUUUAUCUCUAUAUCUAAUUCAAACUCUAUCUCUAUCUCUAUCUCUCUAUCUUUAUCUUUAUCUAUUGGUCGCGGCACGAGAACGUGGCAUGUUAGUAGGGUCGACGAACCGAGGGAUUUCCUCUUCUCUUUAGUACUGCGACGAGGCCGAGGUGACCAUACGGUAUUUCCUUUCGGUCGCUCUCGAGAGAGAGCGCGGGAGUAAACGCGACCGCACGGUCAUUGUUAGGGUCCGUUGGAGAGGAGGAGGAAGAAGGAGGAAGAGGAACGGAGGAAGCAAAGAGAGGAGAGGAGUGAAAAGAGAAGAGAAGAGAAGAGAAGAGAAGAGAAGAGAAGAGAAGAGAAGAGAGGAGAGGAGUGCCGUGGAGUGGAAUGGAGUCGAGUCGUGAGGAGAGGAAAGGAGAGGAGAGGAGGAGACUGUAUAACUGUACCAUCUAUCGCGAGAGGCGGCCUGUCAGCUCUUUUCAGGGUUCACGAACCUCGUUCUCCUCGGUGUGUUCCGACCGAAUCCGAAGGUCGUUGCUCCAGAUCUCAAGAGCUCUCUCGCGAAAUACCUCUCUUACGGCCCUUUUCUCUCUCUCUCUCUCUCUCUCUCUCUCUCUCUCUCUCUCUCUCUCUCUCUCUCUCUCUCUCUAUUCGAAGUUCCUCUUCGGAGGAUCGAAGAGAUAACGAGGGAUGCUCGAGAUAUAUCAAAAGAAAAAUCCGAUGAUGAAUCGUUCGACGGAGAAUUUCGUUCGAUUGCUGCUACUCCUCCAGCUGCGUGUCGACCGCACUAAUGCGCUCGGCAAUUUUCAGAAUUGACUCUCACGGUCGCAAACAGGAGCUUCGGGCAAGUUCGAAGGCCAACACAGCGGUACCGGGAUCGGCGUAACCGCUCGCUGCUUCGCACCGAAUGAUAAUAAUUCAGCGCAACGGCACAUUAGGAGGAGGGCCGAACGCAACAUUUCGGAGGCCUUGACGUGCCCAACCGGAUUACGUGGCGUGACUUCCGCCGCUUUCUCGGUGAUCACCCUACGAAAGGACCUCUCUUUCUCUCUUUCCCUCUCUUGUGACUCCCUCCCUCCCGAUCUUUCCCUCUCCUUCCUUCCUCCUCUCAUGUGUCCACUCGUUUUACUCGGUGACCUCUCGACCGAGCCAUCCCGUCGACUCGACCGAAACGCAAUACGAUGAGUCACGAUACGGCUCUCGAAAGGUCGUAUCGGAAUCAGGAAGGCGUGGAAAUAAAUAUUUAUUAACAAAUUCUACGAAUUUGAAACAGAAGAAGAAAAAAGAUAAGAAAAAAAAAAAAAAAGAAAAAGAGAACGGAAAUCGUUUUCCUAUCAAAAUAACAUCGAACGAAAACUUUUCCAAAACGAAAUUACGGAAGGGGGGGGCAGGAAGGGAAAACGCUUAUAGGAUAGGAUAUACUUACACGAACUAACGGAUAUACACUUAUUUACUAAUCGUAAGAUGAAUUUUUCGAUACUGAUUCGCAGCAAAAAAAAAGAAAAAAAAAUAUUGUCGGGAAGCAAAAAAAGGAAAGAACAGCGACGGAAGAAAAGAGAAAGAGAGAGAGAGAAAAAAAAAGAAAGGGAGAGAAAGCAAAAAAAUUACGAGCAAUCGUUAUUGGCUAAUGUUACUGAUUAAUCGUACAAUAUACGGACACAUUGUAAUCUUGAAAUACAAAUUGAUUCGUCUUAUUUCACAUUUGUGUCUUUAAAAAAGAAAAAAAAAAAAAAAAGAAAAAAAAAAUCGACGCAAAACGACGACAAUGAUAAGAAGGAAUCCAUCGAUCCAAAUACACGCGCUAUAUACGUUUUGUUCGAAGAUGUCGUGAAGUCUUUGAACUGAACAAAUUUCAAGGUCACGCGUAGUCGUGGACAUGAAACACGUGCGGUAGCGAGAAGGUCGGGAGGACCGCGGCCGCGGCCGUGGUUGCGGUUGCCGUAAAUCGUACGAUCGUUCGGUAUUUCUCAUCGGCUGGUCCUUGAAAUUGAGUGAGAAAGGAGAUGAGAGAGAGAGAGAGAGAGAGAGAGAAAGAUAGCAGAUGGAUAGAAAAGUUGAAGAGACGCACGAGUAACAGACAUACAGGCAAGCAGCCAAUCCAGGAAGAAGAGACAUGAAAGAAGACAGAAAAAUAAGGAAAAAAAAAAAUAAUAAUAAUAAAAUGAAGGAAAGGAGAAUAACGUACGCACGUGUUGGCCUACGACACGCGUUAAGAUUCGAGUAAUUAUCAUAAUAAAAAUAUAAAAGAGAGAGAGAGAGAUAGAGAAAGAGAGAGAGAGAGAGAGAGAGAGCGAAAGAGAGAAAAAGAGAAAGGAUAAAUUGAAAAGAAUUUCUGAUAGAGAAUGAGGAAGAGAGAAUAAGAGAACAAAAAAAAAGUGUUAUUCGAAUAACAAGAUAAAAUCAAUCAAUCAAUCCAAUGUAAUGAGUAUAUUUUUAAUCAAUCAAAUUAAAACGCUUCAUUCAUCGCGAGUAUAUGCUACACACCAUCGCACAUCCGAUAUUGUACAUAAAUAUUAUUGAUAAUAUUAUUAAUAUAAUAAUAAUAAUAAUAAUAAUAAUAAUAAUAAUAAUAAUAAUAAUAAUCGGUCUAUAUAUAAAGUAUCUAUCUAAUGAUAUGAAUCCGAUUCGCUCGAAAGUCUCGAAUUAAGAAAUAAAAAAAGAUAGACGAAAGCGAUGUCUUUUCGGCGCUAUCCAAGGAUCGUGAUUUAGUCAAGGACACACUACCACGCGUAAAGUAGUCGCUUGUCGGUGUUAUCAAAGAAAACGAGAGAGAUAGAGAUAGAGGAUGAUCGAUGGGGGAAUUAGAUCUUCCGAUCGUCAGACAUGGAUCGGACGAUUUCAUUUCGUAAUAAUUCUGCGAGGUUUUUCGUAUCUCAAAAAUUGAAAAUGUUCACGGUACGAGGUCGAAGAAAAGAAAAGAAACGAAAAGAACAGAAAAAGAAAGGAGAGAGAAAAAAAGGAGGAAGAAAAAGAGAAAAGGAAAAAAUCCAUUUCCAAGCACGUCCAUUUCUCUUCCUUCUCGGGAAUCUCUUUCUGUCGGGAAGACAUUCUCGAGGGAGAAGAAGAAAAACGGGAAAGGAAAGAUGAGGUAAAAAAAAAAAAAAAAAAAAAAAAAAGAAAAAAGAAAAAAAAAGAAGAAGAAAUGAGACUUUACCCACGACGAGAAUAAGGAAAUUCGUUCUCGAUUAAUUUUCCUUUUUAUAAAUGGGAUAUUUGAUUCGAUCGUUGACCAUGAAGAAUGUUGUAAUGUAUCGGCGUAAUAAUAGUCGUCGUUGGUCAUAGUGUCGUAAUAAGGACUGAGCGUGUGAACGAUGGCCACCUGUGAUCAAAUGGCCUUGUCCUUGUACAGAUCAUCGUUGUCAAGUAUUACCGUGAAUGCAUGCAUAAGCGCGAGAUAAUAACGUUAAGGAACCAAACGUCAAACGAGUGCAUCUACGAGAGUGUCAUGCUUUCAUGCAUCGAAAAAAAAGAAUUUCGAUUUUUUUUUCGUCACAUAGGGGAACAAAAGAAAAAAAAAAAAAAAAAGAAAAGAAAAAAAGAAAUAGAAGAGAGAGAAAAAAGAGGAAGACGAAAAAAGAAAAAAAGAAAAAAGGGGAAAGAAAAAAAAAGGAACAUGAAAGAAAAGUAAACUAAAAGAUAAACAAACAAAUUUACGGUAAAGGAAUAAAAAAAAGAAAAGAAAAGAGAAGAGAUUUGUCAAUCAACGAAACGACCUCGUCAUAAUGGCAUUAUUCACGAACGUUUUUUUAAGAGCAUUGUCGUCAUUGCGUAUACAAAGUUACGUCGAAAAAUUAUCACGAUUCACGUGAUUACGUUUGAUGCUUACGUGACGCGUUAUACGAUUAUUAAUUCGUAGCGUGCUAAAGUCCUUUUCCUUUAUUUUAUUUUUUUUUUGUUUUCUUUUUUUCCUUAACUUGCCUAUGACACGUGAACGAACGUUUGCGUUAUUAAAGAGAUCCUGUUUUUCGCGCACGAUAAGAUCGAAAAAUUGAAUACGUGUCUUCUUACGUCGUUCAAGGUAAGGAAAAUGAUUUAAGAUUUUAAUAGCCAAAUCUUUCGAAUUUAUUCUAGCUAUCUAAUUAUUGAUUAUAUGGUUAGCGUUCGUCAGUUAAACAAAAAAAUAAUAUAUAUAUAUAUAUAUAUGACUAUUUCUAAAAAAUUUUAACAAGAAAAAAAUAUCUAAACAAAAUAAAAGAUCAUUAUUUCUUUGAUUUAGCCUGAAUUGUUAGGAUAUUCUAAAAACAAAAAAAAAAAAAAAGAAAGAAAAAAAACAUUAUACGCACGCACGUAAACUUUUUGUUCUUCCAAGAAGCCGAUAAUGAUUUUACACUGCGCACAUAACGUACGAUCGCAAUAAAGGAAGAGGAAGAAGAAAGAAGAAGGAAAAAAAAGACCAGAGAGAGAAAGAGAGAGAGAGAGAGAGAGAGAGAGAGAGGGAGGAAAAAAAAAGAAAAAAGAGCAAGAUUAUGCAGCACGUCUCGCGUAACAUUAUGCAAUGUUACGAGAGGAAAGGAGAGGAAAGGAGAGGAGGACAGUGGAAGAAGAAGAGAGGAGAGGAGAGAAGAGUGUUGUUUCUUCAAGCCCCAAGGCCGAGGGUGCGCGUGCUCUCCUCGUUGCUAUGUAUAUGAUGAUAUUAACGAACGAGAAUCGCCAAGCUGAUCCUCGCGUUUCUCUUCGUUUCGAAUUUCUGUCGAGGCAAGCACGACUCCCUUCAUUUUCUCGUAGGACCCGACCUCGAACUUACAUCUCCGAAGAAGAAGAAGAAGAAAAAGAAAAAGGAACCAUUUUUUUCCUUCCUUUCUUCCGUCCUUCUUUUAUUUUUUUUUUUCCUUCUCUCUUAGAUUAUCCGCUAGGUUCUCUCUUCCAUCGUCACCUUUUGUCUAAUCUAAAAAGACCUUCC